UGAGAACUAUUUUUCCGUUCC
rnacentral:piRNA from 1 species